GCGAGGGGAGCCCUAGCACAGGUGCUGCAUGGCCGUCGUCAGCUCGUGCCGUGAGGUGUUGGGUUAAGUCCCGCAACGAGCGCAACCCCCGCCGUUAGUUGCCAGCGGUUCGGCCGGGCACUCUAACGGGACUGCCCGCGAAAGCGGGAGGAAGGAGGGGACGACGUCUGGUCAGCAUGGCCCUUACGGCCUGGGCGACACACGUGCUACAAUGCCCACUACAAAGCGAUGCCACCCGGCAACGGGGAGCUAAUCGCAAAAAGGUGGGCCCAGUUCGGAUUGGGGUCUGCAACCCGACCCCAUGAAGCCGGAAUCGCUAGUAAUCGCGGAUCAGCCAUGCCGCGGUGAAUACGUUCCCGGGCCUU
rnacentral:rRNA from 1 species